UACGAAGGGGGCUAGCGUUGUUCGGAAUUACUGGGCGUAAAGCGUGCGCAGGCGGUCCUUCAAGUCAGGGGUGAAAGCCCAGAGCUCAACUCUGGAAUUGCCUUUGAGACUGGGGGACUUGGGUACGGGAGAGGUGAGUGGAAUUCCGAGUGUAGAGGUGAAAUUCGUAGAUAUUCGGAAGAACACCAGUGGCGAAGGCGGCUCACUGGCCCGUUACCGACGCUCAGGCACGACAGCGUGGGGAGCAAAC
rnacentral:rRNA from 1 species